GACACGCCUGACGGGAACACAACGCUGAAAUCAUCAAUUUUAUUGGACCUUAACACAUUUUCCCACAUUUGAGAGAUUUCUUUUAUGGUCCGAUCACAGGACAGGACUUAGAAAGACAUACAAAUUCGGGUUCAACCAGGGAACUCCUGCAUACAGUACAACAUACAAAAGGUAGAUAUGCUCACUGACCUCUCAUGUACAUCUUGGUGGUUUCCAUUAUCUCCUGGUAGACGACAAACUCGGGCAGCGUUUUGAACAACGGUGAUGUCGGGUGAAUGAACACCGGGUCGUCCAUGAGUGGUGUCUGUGGAGAAGAAAACGGCAGGUUCUUGCCAAGGAUGCCGCCUGAGCCAAAACUAACUUACCCAGCAUGACCAUGACGUCCCCCAGCAAGAGUGACGGCCCUUGCCCCGCCCACAGCCUCCUCAUUUGGGCCAUCCGAGCGCGACGCUGGGAGAGCUUGGAGGUCUCGUCUUCGCUACCUGCAGUGGCUCUUUGAGAGCUCCUAGAGAGACCAACAACUGUUCUGCUGCCACAAGAGCCUCGGUAGAAGGAGGAGUCGGGAAGGGAAAAUUGACCACCUGCAAGCAGUACAAAUGACCAGGUCGUCCACAGGCCUGCGAGUGAUUUCUGCUUCCGAGAACAGACUGAAGUCACCAAAUACUGCAGACGAAUACAACCUGCAGGAGAAGAAGAAUCUUUUUGAAGAAUUGUUCAUCAUCUGCCAAACAGCUCUGUGUUGUGAAGUGAGUUGAGUUUGCUACCAUCAUCGAGCGCUCAUAUCCCGAAAAACUCACUGUGCUACACUCACCAGUGGUUGUGAUGCCCUUCCUGAAGGGGAAAGCUUUUCGCAGUCGUCUGCAGAGGCUGUGAACCUCUGCCUGGCCGGUUAGAAACACUAGGAUGCCGCCUGACGCAUGGGAGACAGGAAAAUGAGUCCACAACUAGAAGCACCAUCAAUAGGUGGCAGUUUCAAUUUAAAAGAGCUUCUACCUUCUGGAUCUCCUUCAGAAGAACACCGUCCGUCAUGAACUUGAUCUUGGUCUCAUCCGUCACGUUGCCCUCGUAUCGGAUCUGAUAGGACACCACGCUGAACACACAUGACGACAAACAUCACUCAAUCGGGGGCAUCAUUUUAAAGCGUCUGAAGUCUUGAUGCCGAUGAUGCCAGUGUCACUGGAGGAAACGACGCAACAUCAGCGCCCCCAAAAUUCUAAUGUUUGAAUUGGGAUUGCAAUCAUCUCUAAAGCUGCAUUUACACAACAUGCACAGAGGACCAACCAACCUCGCGUAG